rnacentral:rRNA from 1 species
UAGCGAAGUUCCUGAUGUCACACUGCCAAGAAAAGCUUCUAGUGAGAAAGUAACUGCCCGUACCGCAAACCGACACAGGUAGUUGAGGAGAGAAUCCUAAGGUGUGCGAGAGAACUCUCGUUAAGGAACUCGGCAAAAUGACCCCGUAACUUCGGGAGAAGGGGUGCUGACCGCAAGGUCAGCCGCAGUGAAUAGGCCCAAGCGACUGUUUAUCAAAAACACAGGUCUCUGCAAAAUCGAAAGAUGACGUAUAGGGGCUGACGCCUGCCCGGUGCUGGAAGGUUAAGAGGAGAGGUUAGCGCAAGCGAAGCUUUGAAUUGAAGCCCCAGUAAACGGCGGCCGUAACCAUAACGGUCCUAAGGUAGCGAAAUUCCUUGUCGGGUAAGUUCCGACCCGCACGAAAGGCGUAACGAUUUGGGCACUGUCUCAACGAGAGACUCGGUGAAAUUAUAGUACCAGUGAAGAUGCUGGUUACCCGCGACAGGACGGAAAGACCCCAUGGAGCUUUACUGCAGUUUGAUAUUGCGUGUUUGUAUCACAUGUACAGGAUAGGUAGGAGCCGAAGAUACCGGGACGCCAGUCUCGGAGGAGGCAACGGUGGGAUACUACCCUUGUGAUAUGACCACUCUAACCCGCUGCUCUUAGCGAGCAGGGAGACAGUGUCAGACGGGCAGUUUGACUGGGGCGGUCGCCUCCAAAAAUGUAACGGAGGCGCCCAAAGGUUCCCUCAGAAUGGUUGGAAAUCAUUCGUAGAGUGUAAAGGCAGAAGGGAGCUUGACUGCGAGACCUACAAGUCGAGCAGGGACGAAAGUCGGGCUUAGUGAUCCGGUGGUUCCGCAUGGAAGGGCCAUCGCUCAACGGAUAAAAGCUACCCUGGGGAUAACAGGCUUAUCUCCCCCAAGAGUUCACAUCGACGGGGAGGUUUGGCACCUCGAUGUCGGCUCAUCGCAUCCUGGGGCUGUAGUCGGUCCCAAGGGUUGGGCUGUUCGCCCAUUAAAGCGGUACGCGAGCUGGGUUCAGAACGUCGUGAGACAGUUCGGUCCCUAUCCGUCGCGGGCGUUGGAAAUUUGAGAGGAGCUGUCCUUAGUACGAGAGGACCGGGAUGGACACACCGCUGGUGUACCAGUUGUUCUGCCAAGAGCAUCGCUGGGUAGCUAUGUGUGGACGGGAUAAACGCUGAAAGCAUCUAAGCGUGAAGCCCCCCUCAAGAUGAGAUUUCCCAUCACUUUAAGUGAGUAAGACCCCUGAGAGAUGAUCAGGUAGAUAGGUUGGGAGUGGAAGUACAGCGAUGUAUGGAGCGGACCAAUACUAAUCGGUCGAGGACUUAACC